rnacentral:rRNA from 1 species
ACACGGAGGAUGCGAGCGUUAUCCGGAUUUAUUGGGUUUAAAGGGUGCGUAGGCGGACGAUUAAGUCAGCUGUGAAAUGCCCGCGCUUAACGCGGGAAGUGCAGUUGAUACUGGUUGUCUGGAGUGCCGUUGCCGUGGGGGGAAUGUGUAGUGUAGCGGUGAAAUGCAUAGAUAUUACACAGAACGCCGAUUGUGAAGACACCUCAGGAAGCGAUAGCUGACGCUGAGGCACGAAAGCGUGUGGAUCGAACAUGAUGAGAUACCCUGGUAGUCCGCGCUGUAAACGAACAACACUAUACGUAGGCGGAAGACCGCCGGUGGCCAAGCGAAAGCGAUAAGUCAUCCACCUGGGGAGCUCGACUGCAAGGUUGAAACUCAAAUGAGUUUACGGGU